rnacentral:rRNA from 1 species
CCCCGUUUCGGCCUUGCCUAAAUACAUGCAAGUCGAACGAACGGAUAAAGAGCUUGCUCUUUUGAAGUUAGUGGCGGACGGGUGAGUAACACGUGGGUAACCUGCCUCACAGCUGGGGAUAACAUCGAGAAAUCGAUGCUAAUACCGAAUGUGCUGAACAUCAUAAGAUGUUCAAGUGAAAGACGGUUUCGGCUGUCACUGUGAGAUGGACCCGCGCUGGAUUAGCUAGUUGGUAAGGUAAUGGCUUACCAAGGCGACGAUCCAUAGCCGAUCCUGAGGAUGGGUGUGUAUCGGGCCACCAUUUGGGACUGAGACAUCGGCCCAAACUCCUACGGGAGGCAGCAGUAGGGAAUCUUCGGCAAUGGACGAAAGUCUGACCGAGGCAACGCCGCGUGAGCGAAGAAGGCCUUUCGGGUCGUAAAGGCUCUGUUGUUAGAGAAGAAUCAUGGGUGAGGAGUAACUGUUCACCCCUUGACGGUAUCUAACCAGAAAGCCACGGCUAACUACGUGCCAGCAGCCGCGGUAAUACGUAGGUGGCAAGCGUUGUCCGGAAUUAUUGGGCGUAAAGCGCGCGCAGGCGGUCUCUUAAGUCUGAUGUGAAAGCCCCCGGCUCAACCCGGGGAGGGUCAUUGGAAACUGGGAGACUUGAGGACAGAAGAGGAGAGUGGAAUUCCAAGUGUAGCGGUGAAAUGCGUAGAUAUUUGGAGGAACACCAGUGGCGAAGGCGGCUCUCUGGUCUGUUACUGACGCUGAGGCGCGAAAGCGUGGGGAGCAAACAGGAUUUAGAUACCCUGGUAGUCCACGCCGUAAACGAUGAGUGCUAAGUGUUAGGGGGUUUCCGCCCCUUAGUGCUGCAGUUAACGCAUUAAGCACUCCGCCUGGGGAGUACGACCGCAAGGUUGAAACUCAAAGGAAUUGACGGGGGCCCGCACAAGCGGUGGAGCAUGUGGUUUAAUUCGAAGCAACGCGAAGAACCUUACCAGGUCUUGACAUCCUUUGACCAUUCUGGAGACAGAACUUUCCCUUCGGGGACAAAGUGACAGGUGGUGCAUGGUUGUCGUCAGCUCGUGUCGUGAGAUGUUGGGGUUAAGUCCCGCAACCGAGCGCAACCCUUGAUUUUAGUUGCCAGGCAUUUAGUUGGGCACUUCUAAAGUGACUGCCGGUUGUAAGCCGGAAGGAAGGUGGGGAUGACGUCAAAUCAAUCAUGACCCCUUAAGUGACUCUGGGCUACACACGUGCUACAAUGGAUAAUACAAAGGGUCGCGAAGCCGCGAGGUGGAGCCAAUCCCAUAAAAUUAUUCUCAGUUCGGAUUGCAGGCUGCAACUCGCCUGCAUGAAGCCGGAAUCGCUAGUAAUCGUAGAUCAGCAUGCUACGGUGAAUACGUUCCCGGGCCUUGUACACACCGCCCGUCACACCACGAGAGUUUGUAACACCCAAAGCCGGUUUGGUAACCUUCGGGAGCUAGCCGUCUAAGGUUGAAUGAGGGUUU